GGCACGCUGUAGAAUGGUGAAAUGUGCCAUUCGUUAAUACAUUGAAGCUAUUUUUGUUUGACUUCUCCCACUGAAGGGCCAUAAUUAGGCUUCUAUAGCCAGGGAAAUGCUGUCUUUAUUAAAAGUCAUGUUCAUAAAUGUUCUCUUGAGAUUGGUGUAUAGAUCACUAUAGCACUUGCCAAGUGUGCAUAAGAGCCUGCUGGUCCCUGGCACUACUACAAAAAAAUUAAAAAAUAAAAUUAAAAAUUAAAAAAAAGACUUUUCACCCAAUAUUUAAGGUGAGUUUUCUUGAAGGACAGCAACCAUUUCUCUACCCUAACUACUCUCUAGUUUACUUUACCUCAUUCUUUUUAAACUUGAGCGUCAAGACCAGAAUUAUCAGGCCUGAGAGACUUGAGCAACCUCCCCUCUUCCUGCCCCAUAGCAUGUUCGUAUGCUGUGCAUGCAUGGGUGCGCACACACACAUAUUUGCAGAAGUUAAGCCUUGCACAGUCAGUUCUUUGCAGCGUCCUAUACAACCUAGCCUCCCUAGUAAUACAAUGCACUUUCUUAGCACACACGUAAGUCAAAGCUCACUUCAGUCUGACUUGAUGUUUAGAGAGGAAGAUGCCAGUUGGGAAGAAGCCUGUCAGUUUGUCGAGCCUGCCCAUGACAGGCGGGGUGCGGAGGAGCUUCUCUGGGGACGAAGAGUUGACUCCUCCUCCAUAUCGAACCCUGCCAGCACAGACAGCCCUGGAGGCCUUCCCACCUCCCAGCACUAGCCGAGAGUUCAGGCCCAGCCUCAAAACAGGUAACUAGUCACAGCAGCAUCACAGGUACUAUAGAGUAUGGGUCAGGUGCUGGGCAGGGUGGUGGGAGACAAAGCAUGGGCUGGCGGGACAGGGGCCCACUCAUCCAAAUCCUCCUUUUUCUUUUUCUUUUUUUUUUUUUAACUAAAAAUAUCCAUUUCCACUGGUUCUCGGCAGCCAUUUCACUAAGAUGAGCCAUCAGGGAAGAAUUGAGUUGAUAUGGAGCAUCAGUGAAAGCCAUCAUUUUAGUUUUUUGGAAUUAUGAGGCAACUUCCAAUAUUUGAUGCUUUGGUUAGAAUGGUUGAACAUACUACAUUGUAGAUGUCUAUGGACUUGACUUGAGGGAGAGAGAGAGAGAGAGAUGCUGAUAAUUAGACCUAAAAGUGAGACUUUGUUCAUAACAUUCCAUAGUGGGUCAUUCAUGGAAAACGUGUAUUGAGUUCAAAUAAUUUUUAUUUUAGUGGUAGCAUUUACCAUAAACUAAGCUUGAACAUCAUCACAGAUUUAAAAAUACAUUACUUACCGAUCAUGGUAUUAAAUUUAUUUCCAUAAUUCCAUGUUUCAAUAUGCAUGGUGAUUACCUGACAUUUCUUGGUGUUUAGUUGGUUAGGCAAGUGAAGGAAGACUGCUCAAAAUUUUCCCUGUUGUAAUUGCUAAAAACAAAGCUGACUUUAGAUGAGAGUCCUGAUCUUGUAGCUUCAAAUCCAGAGUGCUGGUUUGAUUAGCAUGUAUCCUACCACAGUUUAAUGAUUGUUUUUCAACUGACUUGUUCUAGAUGUCAGCAUUUCCUAAAUGACUUUGUAGUUUAAAAACUUAAGUGGAAUUUAGGACUUUGUUGUUUCCUGCUACUGUUUACCAGGAUGUUUGUACCUGACAUUAUCAGCUCCCCCCCCCCCCUUUUUUUUUAACUUCUUACCUCUCACAGCUCUGAUAAUGUGUGCAGUCAUCUUACCUCUCACAGCUCUGAUAAUGUGUGCAGUCAUCUUGAGCUUUCCAUCAGGCCGUGUUUCUGAUGACCAUACAUCAAGGGAAAGUUCCAUGUUUCAUUUUCCAUGAAAGGCAGAUUAGGAUUACAAAUCCCAAAUUUCAUCUGCUGUGUUCAGGCAUGGUGGUGAGACCCAUUCACCCCAGCAGGAAGAUUGGGAAUUCAAGCUGUCUCCUGAGAGACUGACUGAACAAAGCCAACAGUGUUAGCUACUCUUUAAUGAUCAACCUCUAAGGACUAAGAGCAUUCCAGGUCAUUGUUAAGUUUUCUCUUUUUAAUACACACUGUUUAUGAAAUAGUACUUUACCUGAAUAUGAAUAUCCUUACUUUGUUAGAGGUUCUGAUUCAUGUCAAACUUAGCUAGACUUGUGAGAAGACGGCAAACCUCAUGACUUCCAACUUCCUCAUUCCUCUAGUGCCUGUCAUGUCUUCUUGCUCUGGGGUGUGUCUUGUGGGCCGUGGUAUGAUCUGCUUAGUGAAGCUCUGUGGGAACUGCACUGCUGCCUUCAUGCCUGAAAGCCACUGUUAGACUGGUUGUUUGGCAAAUUUAUUAUUGUUGAUUUUAUACCUGCAAAGAUGUCACUUUCAUUUGCUUCUCUUGAGACAUUUUCAUGAUUAGUGUCACUUAGGUGGUUGAUUUUAAAAGCAGAGCCUAGAAAGUACAUUGGUGUAGAAUGUGACAUUGAGCUGCUUGAUCUAUUGCAUUCAUCCGUCACUGUUCGAGAAUAAAGGCUAGGAAAGGGGGAUGAUAGCAGACAGGCUUUAUUUUAGUAAGUUUACAUUAAAACGUUCCAUACCUGCGUGAAUGUUUCACCUUUUUCUUGAGUGAUUUUUCAGUACAUCAUUUUCAUAUUUUAACAUGACUCUUCUCAAGAUACUUGUUUUGAGUACAAAUGGAUACAGCUUUAGGAUGUGUUUCAGAACCUUGGUUAUCUUCCUUACAUAAAAACAUCCUUUUGAGUGAAACAUCUUUGAUCUUGAAGCAUGGUACUUCCCAUUCAUUUAGCCAUCUAAUCAUCAUAGAACAAGAUAACAUUCAACCUUUUAUUGUGGGUACUGCACCUUUAAUGAAAUGUGGGUUUUGUUUCCAUGUUUAUCCUUGUGAUAAGUGCUAAAAUGUCCCUAAUAUUUACUGCAUCUUGGUUAGAUCUGAAGGAUAGCUAUAUGCAUAUUUGCCACUGUUUGUUAGGCAAAGGAAGAACUAUACAGUUGCAUGUGCUUUGCCUUUCAACAGUAUGUUCUUUCUUCUGCUCUUACUAUACAUAGUAUAUUCACUUUUUUGUCUAUGGGCUAUUGAGUUUUUCAACAUAAAUGCCAAAACAGGAACCAAAGUAAGAUGAAUUGUCAUCUCUCAAAAGAUUAUUCAUUAAAAUUUGUAAAUAAGGUGUCAAGUGUUAGCUGAAUAUUCAGUAGUCAAGUCUUUUUGAGUUCAAGGCUAGCUUAGUCUAUCUAAAUAACAAGUUCCAGACCAGCCAGAGCUACAAAGUGAGACCCCCAUCUCAAAAAUACAGAUAAAUAGGUAAAAAUGAAAAAGAUAUCCUACUGCUGGGUUUUCUGGGUAUUUGUUAAUCUUGUUAUGUAGUAUAUAAUCUACACUGGCUUCAAAUUCAAGAUCCUCUUACUUCAGCCUCUAAAAUACUGGGACUAUAGGUAUGACCUAACAUGCUUGUACUGGGAGAUGAGCCAGUAAUUUUUGAGGAAAUCUUCAUAACUGAAAUCAGUGUACAGAGGCUGGAAGUGUAGCCCACCAGUGGAGUGCUAACCUAGCAUAGGCAAAACUAAAUUCAGUCUCCAAUACC
rnacentral:lncRNA from 1 species